CGGUUUCUGUGGAUGUUUGUUUCAUGGAGACAGUCAUGAAGAAGGGAAAUUUGGUGCUAAUAGAGAAACCCAUUAGGUUCUGGUUAACAGAUCGGUUUCCAGCUGUGAGGGGCCUCAGUUCAGCUUCCGGUGCGGCAGGAAGGAGUUCCACACUGAAAGACGCACACAUGGGAGAAGAUGCAGGAAGCUGACAUGUCUGAAACUGAAGAGACUUGGAGGAUCAACACUGAAAACAUCUUCAGCAGCUGUUUGAUUUGAACUGUUUCACUAAUCUCAACAGCUGACAGGUCGGGAAGGCCAGGAGCAAGCAGGACCGUCUGAAACUCAAAGGACCCAGCCUCCCACCACUUCGCUUGAGCCUUUAUCUUCUUCUUUGAGACCUGGCAAGUUGAUGCAUUACCAGCUGGUCCGCCUACACUCAGACCCUCCCCCUGACAAACGUUGCCCACUGCCACAACUGGAGCCCAUCACUGGGGCUGGCUGACAGCCAGCCUGCCAGAUGUGAAGGACUCUCUGCGGCGUCUAUAAUCCGUCAGAAACACAAACCUCAGAUUCCCCUUGUGUAAAGCAGCCUUCUUCGAGACCCUGCUAUUAGUGGCUUUGUGGGCCAGAGUGGCGACAUCUUAAUGUCAGACAGACACAGAAGGGGCUACAGGACCCCUGCGUUCCAUGCACUGAAAACACAGCUGACUGCAGGGCAUGUGGAUUAUUAAAGAUAUACUCUACCAUCAACCACCAACACAGAGUUUUAAAUGUUUUUACAAGAGGCUGUGCAAAAUUUGUGACAUGUACAGUGUAGAGCAUCCCCACAUUAAUUAUAAAUGCAAGUCAUGACUGUAACUGAACGGUGGAUCUGAUGAAAAUUCAAAACAGGAAGUCUUUACCAAAAGUUAAAAAACACUUACCCUUGAGAUUUUACAAUAUUUGUGGAAUUAUUCCCACAGUCAUUUAGCCUAAUUCAGCAACAAACAGGAGAAUGAGCUCAGGACAAACUGUUUCUUCAUUUAAAAAAUCUUUAAUGUGAAAAAAAAAGUUUAACUUCUGUUGGUCAUACAUGGAAUGUAGAGCGAGCGUAGCCUACAUCAUUUAAUCACUAUUUAUGUGAACCUGGACAAGAGGUAGAGGGCAAAUUCUUUUCUAUUACUGCCUUGCCUUGUGUGGUUCUGGGUAAA